GGCUGGUCCAAAGGUAGUACAUUAUCUCGAUUGAUUGUUCACUAUCAGCUACAGAUCAAACUCCUUGUUAUCCUCUUUUCCUGCUUCUCACUACUGCAUUUGACUAGUCUUUA
ensembl:misc_RNA Y_RNA Y RNA